rnacentral:tRNA from 1 species
CAAAAUGUAGCUUAACAAAAGCCCCUCGCUUACACCGAGAUGACAUCUGUUGAACCCAGAUCAUUUUGAG